rnacentral:rRNA from 1 species
AACGAACGCUGGCGGCAGGCUUAACACAUGCAAGUCGAACGAGAUCUUCGGAUCUAGUGGCAGACGGGUGAGGAACACGUGGGAACAUCCCUUUCAGCUCGGAAUAACGUUGGGAAACUAACGCUAAUACCGGAUACGUCCUUCGGGAGAAAGAUUUAUCGCUGAAAGAUUGGCCCGCGUCUGAUUAGCUAGUUGGUGAGGUAAUGGCUCACCAAGGCUACGAUCAGUAGCUGAUCUGAGAGGAUGAUCAGCCACAUUGGGACUGAGACACGACCCAAACUCCUACGGGAGGCAGCAGUGGGGAAUAUUGGACAAUGGGCGCAAGCCUGAUCCAGCCAUGCCGCGUGAGUGAUGACGGCCUUCGGGCUGUAAAGCUCUUUUGUCCGGGAAGAUAAUGACUGUACCGGAAGAAUAAGCCCCGGCAAACUUCGUGCCAGCCGCCGCGGUAA